AAGCAUUUGGGAUCUAAACAUGCAACCCACGUCCUUCCUUCACUCUUUGUUUCUUUCUCUCUCAUCAGCAUGCAAUAUUGAUAUUGAAGAAGCUGAUAUUUCGAUUCUCUUCUAUUCAUAAGCCUUUUGUUCCAAGUUGCAAUGACAUCAGGGAGAUCCAACUGGUGGUACUGUUGUUCGGGCUGUGCAAACAAGCUUGCUCCUUUUAGUGGUCUCUUUAAGGAACUUCUUUCGCAUCGCACUCCGGAAAGUCGUCUCCUCCUCAUUCGGGGUAACGGGUAGGAUUUUGGAUUUUCACCAUUGUUACGUACACAUGCAUGCGAGUUUUUUUCUUGUUAAUUGCUGAAUAUGGCAGUGGAUUGACGAAUGUGAACUUUCAAGGAAAAGAGUCGAUUAAUCAAGUUCCAACUUGCGUUACACCUGCUCAGCUUCAAGAUGAAAGUUGGAUGGCUCAAACGAAUCUGACCAAUAUCCACUGUUCUAAUUGUGAUACUCAUGUUGGAUGGAAAAUUAUUAAUGAGCUCAGCAAUCACCCAAUAGUCCGUCCAGGCCAAUACAUACUGCGGAUUGAUUCUGAGAAUGAAAUUAUUUACUGGGAGAGGCCCAGGCCACGAUGAACUUGAUUGAAGGAGAAAUAUGGCUGAUGGAUGUUGCUAGGUACCAAAUCCAAAUGGGAUCGAAGCUACUGUUGACAAGUACCAUUACAAUUGAUUCCAUUCAUUUCAUUUGUUUUCCUAUAGAAUUCUUCUAUUCAAUGUUUAUCAAGUUCUCCAUAAUUCCUAUAGAUGAUAUAGAAGGAAAUCAAUCAUUCAACCAGACCAGAAGAUAAUCUCUAAGCACAACACCCAAUAUAAAAACAAAUCAAUCUUCCACUCCAAUCACUCUAAUCCCAUGAUUAAUUACAACCUAACAAUUACCUUGGACCAUAAAUCAGUCAGAGACAUACAUCCAUGGUAAUUAUGAAAUUCCAUAUUCAAGAAUAGGCACAAAUAUCUCUUCCUAGUUGUACUGUAUCAAUUCCAGCUUUACAUUCCUUUAUUUUUUUCUAUGUAAUACCAAUUCAUUAUUUUAUAAAAAUGCUAAGUCUGCAACUUCCUCAUGUAAUAGAGCAGUCGUUUGUUUGAAAUAUGACUACUAGUGAUGAACUAUGUCUAACCAUUCAAUCAGUCCACCCAUAUUUGAGUUUAGUUUCGGUCAAAUUGAGCUCCAACAAUUUCCUUCUAUGGAAAACCCAACUACUACCAUUGAUACGAAGUUUGAGAAUAGCUCAUCAUAUCAUGAUGAGUGAGAUACCUGCGGCAAAAAAGAAUAGACAAUAUAGAAGAGAAAACUCAUAAUCUCUUGGCAUGUAAGUUGGAUAAACAAUGGUUGUGUUAUGGCACUUUAAUUUUUAUUUCUAGUUAGUUUUUAUUUUUAUU